AUGAAAGAGCUGGCCCUGAAGGAAGAUGACCUCGAUGACGUCGUUUUUGAGGAAGAUGACGCCCCGGUGGAGGUGGAUCUCCGCUGGAUGAUCUUGGUCAGAGUCCAUAUGGACAAAGGGUUUAGCACUUAUUGGUUCUUCCGCAACAUGAGAACAACCUGGGACCUCGCUAGACCGGUGAAAAUCAAAACCCUAGAGGAAAAUCUCUUCCAGAUGCAGUUUAACUGCCUGGGUGAUUGGGAG
rnacentral:rRNA from 1 species